GACGGCUGAGGAACACGUUGGUACCUGCCCCAUACUCGGGAAUAAGCGCUGGAAACGGCGUCUAAUGCCCGAUAGUCUCUUCGGAGUAAAGCUUUCGCGGUAUGGGAGGGGCCUGCGCAUGAUUAGCUUGUUGGUGAGGUAACGGCUCACCAAGGCGACGAUCAUUAACUGGUCUGAGAGGAUGACCAGUCAGACUGGGACUGAGACACGGCCCAGACUCCUACGGGAGGCAGCAGUCAGGAAUCUUGCACAAUGGGGGAAACCCUGAUGCAGCAACGCCGCGUGGAGGAAGAAUGCCUUCGGGUUGUAAACUCCUUUUAUGUGGGAAGAACAUUGACGGUACCACACGAAUAAGAGACGGCUAACUAUGUGCCAGCAGCCGCGGUAAUACAUAGGUCUCAAGCGUUAUCCGGAUUUACUGGGCGUAAAGCGUCCGUAGGUGUCCUGUCGCGUCUUCGGUGAAAUCUCCGGGCUCAACUCGGAAAUUGUCGGAGAUACGGACAGGAUAGAGUGUGACAGAGGCAGACGGAAUUGAUGGUGUAGGGGUAAAAUCCGUAGAUAUCAUCAAGAACACCAGUGGCGAAGGCGGUCUGCUGGGUCACUACCGACACUGAGGGACGAAAGCGUGGGGAGCGAACGGGAUUAGAUACCCCGGUAGUCCACGCCGUAAACGAUGGGCACUAGGUAUUCGGGGACUAGACCCCCUGGGUAUCGUAGCUAACGCGUUAAGUGCCCCGCCUGUGUAGUACGGCCGCAAGGCUAAAACAUAAAGGAAUUGACGGGGACCCGCACAAGCGGUGGAGCGUGUGGUUUAAUUCGACGCUAAGCGAAAAACCUUAUCCAAGGCUUGACAUCCCAGUCGUAUCCCCGGGAAACCGGGGAGUCAGUCCGGCUGGACUGGUGACAGGUGUUGCAUGGUCGUCGUCAGCUCGUGUCGUGAGAUGUUGGGUUAAGUCCCGCAACGAGCGCAACCCUCGUCGUGUGUUAUAUGUGUCACACGAGACUGCCUGGGUUAACCAGGAGGAAGGCGGGGAUGACGUCAGAUCCGCAUGACCCUUAUGCCUUGGGCUACACACGCGCUACAAUGGCCGGUACAAUGGGUUGCCAACCCGCGAGGGGGAGCUAAUCCCAUCAAAACCGGUCUCAGUUCGGAUUGGAGGCUGCAACUCGCCUCCAUGAAGCCGGAAUCGCUAGUAAACGCGGAUC
rnacentral:rRNA from 1 species